rnacentral:rRNA from 1 species
AUGGUGGAGAAGCCGGCGAGCCAGGCCGACGUGGGCGGCGAAGUGGAGGCGCAUAAGGAGAGGAAGGGGCUGUGGUCGCCGGAGGAGGACGAGCGGCUGUACACCCGGAUCACCAGGCAUGGCGUGUCCACCUGGAGCUCCGUGGCGCAGCUCGCCGGGCUGCGGCGGAGCGGCAAGAGUUGCCGGUUACGGUGGAUGAACUACCUCCGGCCGGACCUUAAGAAGGAGCCCAUCUCCAAGCGCGAGGAGGAGACCAUCAUCUCGCUCCAGAAAUCACUCGGCAACAGGUGGUCCGUGAUCGCGGCGAAGAUGCCGGGGAGGACGGACAACGAGAUCAAGAACUACUGGAACUCCCGCAUCAGGAAGCGCCAGAACGCCAGCCCCGCAGGCGGGAAGGGGGACAGCGGCUGCGCAAAGCAGCAGGGUGACCUUCCGGCCGCCGAUGACAAGGCCUCCGUGCUAGCAGGGCCCCGAGCGAAGGAACCGGUUAGCAGCAUGGCCUCCGGGGCGACGGCGCCUCCUGUUCCGGCACGGUUCCCACUGUUCGCGUGCCAGCUUCUUGGCUGUGGCGGAGGGGCCGCCGCAAUUGCAGCUGCAGGCACCACCGAGUCGACAACCACUCACGAGAACAACCGCGCCGGCUCAGAGAGCGAUGCUAGCGUGGGCAACGGCAGCGGCGGCGGCGGCGACGGUCGGGAGGGACAUUACUACUACUGCGCCGUCGACGGCGACAUCGACAUGAUCCAUCUCAUGUCGUUCGAUGACCUUCUUGAGUACCCGGCCAGCGAUCUGCUCAUGGAUGCGUGGGAUCGGAAUGGACUCUACUCCACGAAUACGGGGAACUCUGUUGAUUGA